UUUAUGAUCCUCGGCCCGUCACCGUCGCUUACAGUUUCGGUCGUUCGCUGCUAGAAAGAGGAGGUGGUCAUUGGUUUGGUUUUCCGGUUCCUGAAGAAGCUACGUCGGGGUGCCUUCGCGAGGAAACUCUACAGCUGAGGUGGUGCUUCCUUGGUCGCUCGUAGACGUAUACUGCAUACAGCCAUGGCGGCGUCCCAGGCGCAACUGGACAAGAUGACGCAACGCCAGAAUUACCGGAAUCUCUGGCACACUGAUCUCGUGGGCACUAUUCAAGCUGAUACUCCUUAUUGCUGCUUUGCAUUCUGGUGUGGACCAUGUGCAUCAUAUAUGCUCCGGAAAAGAGCUCUUUAUAAUGAUAUGUCCAGGUAUGUAUGCUGUGCUGGUUAUAUGCCAUGUAGUGGUAGGUGUGGGGAAAGCCAAUGCCCUGAAUUUUGUCUCUGCACUGAGGUUUUCCUCUGCUUUGCGAAUUCAGUAGCAUCAACUCGCUUUCUGUUGCAAGAUCAAUUCAACAUACAGACAACACAGUGUGACAACUGCAUUAUUGGAUUUAUGUUCUGCCUCCAACAAGUGGCGUGCAUAUUCUCCAUUGUUGCAAUGAUUGUUGGAAGUGAGGAUCUUUCAGAGGCUUCUCAGAUACUGAACUGUUUGUCUGACAUGGUUUAUUGCACGGUUUGUGCAUGUAUGCAGACGCAACACAAGAUUGAAAUGGACAAAAGGGAUGUGAAUUUUGGGCCACAGGUGAUGGCUGUUCCACCCAUUCAGUAUAUGUCCCGCAUUGAUCAGCCCAUUCCUCCUCCAGUUGGAUAUCCUCCACAACCAGCAUAUGGACAGGCAUAUGGUUAUCCACAACCUCCUCAGUCUCAAGGUUAUCCUCCUGCUGGUUAUCCCCCUCCUGGUCCUGGGUAUCCUCCCGCAGGUUAUCAGAGAUGAUUGUUGCCACGAUGGAUGCUGGACCCCAAUUAGAGUUGGUUCUUGAGUUUUGAUAACUGCACGUGGCAAUUACAUUAUCCUUCAAAUGUGGGUUUUAUAUCUUUAAGGUGGGAAACGGGAUAGGAGUCAAAACAACGAUCAGGGUGGAUCUGGAUACUUAUUUGUCCCACUUAAAAUAUUCUAGCUGCUUACGUAAUGUUCAUUUACCUUUUUGUGUAUUUUGUGCUCCAAGAGUCCAAAUGAACUUUCGCACAUUUGACUUGUAAAGCGAGGAGCAUAAUUGAUCAAAUGACUCAAAUGAAGAGAACUUUUUGGGUAA